UACGGAGGGUGCGAGCGUUAAUCGGAAUUACUGGGCGUAAAGCGCACGCAUGCGGUUUGUUAAGCUAGAUGUGAAAGCCCCGGGCUCAACCUGGGAUGGUCAUUUAGAACUGGCAGACUAGAGUCUUGGAGAGGGGAGUGGAAUUCCAGGUGUAGCGGUGAAAUGCGUAGAUAUCUGGAGGAACAUCAGUGGCGAAGGCGACUCCCUGGCCAAAGACUGACGCUCAUGUGCGAAAGUGUGGGUAGCGAACAGG
rnacentral:rRNA from 1 species